rnacentral:rRNA from 1 species
UGGGGAAUUUUGCACAAUGGGGGAAACCCUGAUGCAGCGACGCCGCGUGAUUUAGAAGGCCUUCGGGUUGUAAAAAUCUUUUCUGUGGGAAGAAAAUGACAGUACCAUAGGAAUAAGGACCGGCUAAUUACGUGCCAGCAGCCGCGGUAAUACGUAAGGUCCGAGCGUUGUCCGGAAUCAUUGGGCGUAAAGGGUACGUAGGCGGGUAAGCAAGUUAGAAGUGAAAUCCUAUAGCUCAACUAUAGUAAGCUUUUAAAACUGCUCAUCUUGAGGUAUGGAAGGGAAAGUGGAAUUCCUAGUGUAGCGGUGAAAUGCGCAGAUAUUAGGAGGAAUACCGGUGGCGAAGGCGACUUUCUGGCCAUAACCUGACGCUGAGGUACGAAAGCGUGGGUAGCAAACAGG